UAUUUGAUCUUUAUCAGGGUAAGUGUGUGAUCUUCAGUCUUCUAAUGGUAUACACCCUUCCCUUACCAGAGGGGCGCAAAUACGGUGAGCUACUCAAACUCGGCUCGAAAACAAGCUUGAAACGAGCCGAGCUUAAACGAGCUCGAGUGCAAACCUAAAAACAAGCUCGUUAUGUGUUCACACAGGACCAGCAAGUUAUGGAGCUCUAUUUGUGUUGCGAUUUCUUUAUAGAAAAUAUGAUUUCAAGUCAGAUGAGGAGAGCCAAAUUGCGUACUUAACCUGAGCGAGCCAAUGAGUGAGUUGCCAUAAUUCUCAAAAUUGUGCUACAGAUGCAGUGAGAGAAGCCUUUUUUAUGCAAGAUUCGUUCGAAGAUGACAAGUCAAAGAUUCUUAUGAUAUUAUGUGCAAGCCCGGAUCCAAAGGAAAUGCAUAAGACAAUAUCAACAUUGGAAUACGGUGCAAAAGCCAAAUGCAUCGUGCGUGGGCCUCAUACGCCAAUUAAGGGAGACGAUUCGUCUUCGUCAGAUGUGAUGUUGGGUUCGAGAAUCGCGACUACUUAGUUCAGCUGAUUGGUCAAGGCUUAAUGUCCUUUUUGAUAAAAGUUUUCAUCAUUUGCUUUAGACGAAGGAAGAGAGGGUUCAAAAUUUGUAUCUUACCAAGUUUUAUCUGAGUUUCAUGGUAGAGAUAGAAUGGACGUAUAUCAUUGAAGUAUAUUAUUUGAGAACGGGAUUGGAUCGAAGUAUAUGGACAUGUACAAAUUUAUGCUCCCUAAUAUCAUUUAUGACAAUAACGUUGUAAAUAAACCUACUUUCGAUGUUUUGAUGAAAAUUUGUUACGGUUUAAUAAAUCUAACUCUUUAUAUUGAGCUUGUAGAUUU
rnacentral:lncRNA from 1 species